ACUUAAAUUGAAGAGUUUGAUCAUGGCUCAGAUUGAACGCUGGCGGCAGGCCUAACACAUGCAAGUCGAACGGUAGCACAGAGAGCUUGCUCUCGGGUGACGAGUGGCGGACGGGUGAGUAAUGUCUGGGAAACUGCCCGAUGGAGGGGGAUAACUACUGGAAACGGUAGCUAAUACCGCAUAACGUCGCAAGACCAAAGUGGGGGACCUUCGGGCCUCACACCAUCGGAUGUGCCCAGAUGGGAUUAGCUAGUAGGUGGGGUAACGGCUCACCUAGGCGACGAUCCCUAGCUGGUCUGAGAGGAUGACCAGCCACACUGGAACUGAGACACGGUCCAGACUCCUACGGGAGGCAGCAGUGGGGAAUAUUGCACAAUGGGCGCAAGCCUGAUGCAGCCAUGC
rnacentral:rRNA from 1 species